CAAGAGUGAAGGGAAAUGUGUGUGAGGGAGGAAAUGAGUGAUUGAAUGAGUGAAAGUAUGGCUGAUAGAGAGAGUGAGAGAGAGAGGGUGGAAGACGAUGAUGUCGGCUGCUCGGAGCAAAUGCCGACAUAGAAGUAAGAAUUGGUAAAAAGUUUUCUUUGGAAGUUGCUCACAGUUUACAGCCAAGGAACAUUCAAUGGAAAAAAAUAGUCGGAAACUUUAAGAAAGUUAGAAUUUAGAUACCUUGAGACAUACACAGUUAUAUACUCCAUUACAAGACAAAAGUUAAUAUAUAUAUAUAAUUAUUAUAUAGAUGUUAUAUAUAUAUAUAUACACACAUAUAUCAACUAUUGAAGAUACUUCUGCUCUCAUCAGAUUAUUUAUGAUUUCUUCCUCUAUCUCACUAUUUGUCUAAUUCUUAUACAUACAUAUAUAUAUAUAUAUAUAUAUAUUAUAUAUACACACAUAACUUUCUUUUACUGCACAUAUAAUCGCGCACUACGCUCACAAUCGUGACUAGAUUUUGUAUACGUACCCUAUACACUCACCUGUAUCUAUAUACUGUAUCCGAUUUAUAUUUAUAUUCAUCUUUAUACACCUUGUAAGGCACUCGCACAUCAUCCCCCCCUCCUAAUCAUAUACGCACUAACCUACAUAAAUAUAUACCCAUACACAUAAUUACAUCACAGGUACAUAUAUAUAUAUAUAAUAUCUGUAUACACCCCACACACAUAUACAGAUAUAUACACGAGUUUAAGACUUACCAUUUACGCAAAACCGAAAGUUCUUCAGAUUGAAGAAUUGAUUCCUCAAAACAGACACUUUGGAGUAAUUUUCGUCUUUUUAUGAUCGAAAACAGGGAAUUCUUCAAUACAUAUAUAUUGUUUAAUAUACACUUCUACCCGUAUUGUAUACACCCUGUGAGACAAAAGAUUUCCAUUUCUACACCCUUACCGAAAUAUUCCCAGUAAAAAGACAGAAGGUCACCAAAAAUCUAUGUACAACAGUUGAAGUUUUUUGGAAUAUAUAUAUAUAUAUAUCUACCCAUCUUUGAGGCAGGUGAUGCCAGACCCAGCUUUGUUCUGAAGGCUUGAGCAUACACAUAUAUAUAUAUACACACAGAUGACUACAUGUAUAUAUAUACAUACAUAUGAACAUAUGAGUAUAUAUAUAUAUAUAUGUACUAUCGUAUAGUCCUAUGUAAGGCUCUUCCAGAAGUUCUCCAAUCACUUCCUUAUUUCCUGUAUUCAGGAACCAAAAUUUUACAGUUCAGGAAAUUUUCUCUCUUCCAGUCCAAGACUUUUGGUCAACCAAUUCCUUGUCUCUCAAACUUGGUCUUAGUUGAGAGCGAUCCUCUAUUAGCAACGAAUGACUCGGCUGGAAGGGAACGACGGAGAAUGUUUGCUAAAUAGAAGAAAAAGAAGACGACGAAGAAGAAGAAAAAUAAAACAAGAAUGAUGAUGAGUCUGCAGGAAGACAAUUUCUAAGAAAAAAAAAACACACACACACACACAUAUGUAUAUAUAUUUAUAUAUGUAUACACACCCACACACGCACACAAAAUAUGAAUAGACAGAAAAUUUGAAGGAAGCUUUCAUUUUACCGCAAAGAAAUUAUUGUUAUUAUUAUUAAUAAUAAACUCACUUGUAAAAGGAACAAAUUAAAAUCCAGCAGAUCUGGAACCACCAAUUAAGCAGAUAUUGGUUAAUUACGAAAAUAUAUUUAAUUUGACUUAGAUCUUUAUGCAUACACACACAUUCAAACACACACAGGCACACACACACACAUAUGCCCGUGUGUGUGUGUGCCCAUAGAGGAACCAUAUAUUUAGAAUGUUAUGAAGGUUCUGUUUGAAAGAGAGAGAGAGAGAGAGGAACUAGCUGCAUAUCCCAGAGAAAAAUAUACUCUCUUCUUCCUUCGAUCUAUGAUCCACUACAGGAUUUCAGAAUUGGAUUGGAUUUUCCUUGCAUGAUCUCUGGGACUUAUAAAUAAGGGUGUGUGUUAUAUUUGAUUGUAUAAGUUUAUAUGGUGAGAGAGAAAGAGUUGAAGAGAAAAAUAGCUAAUUGCAUUCAUUCCUGUUGUUUCUUGUUGUGAAAUGGAACAAAGAACUUUGGUCGACGGACUUCGUCUGGUAAAUAGACGCGAUGAGUUCUAAAGAGGGGCAGAGAGAGAAAGAGAGAGGGUCUACAGUGAAGGGAAGUAGCGGCACCAAAGGAGACGACUCUUUGGGGAAGCGGUCGAAAUCGACAGGUGGAAUGAAGGGUGACAAGAGCGACAAGGCAGAACCGGGCACCACCGAGCCGUCACC